CAGACAACUAGGAUGUUGGCUUAGAAGCAGCCAUCAUUUAAAGAGUGCGUAAUAGCUCACUAGUCGAGUGACACUGCGCCGAAAAUGUACCGGGGCUAAACAUAUUACCGAAGCUGUGGAUUGUCCUUUGGACAAUUGUAGGAGAGCGUUCUAAGGGCGUUGAAGCAUGAUCGUAAGGACAUGUGGAGCGCUUAGAAGUGA
rnacentral:rRNA from 1 species